rnacentral:rRNA from 1 species
GGUUGAUCCUGCCAGUAGUCAUAUGCUUGUCCCAAAGAUUAAGCCAUGCAUGUCUAAGUAUAAACAAAUCUGUACUGUGAAACUGCGAAUGGCUCAUUAAAUCAGUUAUAAUUUACUUGAUAGUCACUUUAUCAUUGGAUAACCGUGGUAAUUCUAGAGCUAAUACAUGCAAAAAGUCCGACUUCGGAAGGACUGUAUUUAUUAGAUACAAAACUGACGACACCUUUAACCGUGUCUUUGGUGAUUCAUAAUAACUUUGCGGAUCGUAUGGCCUUGAGCCGACGACGUUUCAU